AGGUAAGCUACUAAGAGCGAAUGGUGGAUGCCUUGACUGGUAAAGGCGAUGAAGGACGUACUAGACUGCGAUAAGCUACGGGGAGCUGUCAAGAAGCUUUGAUCCGUAGAUUUCCGAAUGGGGCAACCCAAUGUAUAGAGAUAUACAUUACCUAUAUAGGAGCGAACGAGGGGAAUUGAAACAUCUUAGUACCCUCAGGAAAAGAAAUCAAUAGAGAUUGCGUCAGUAGCGGCGAGCGAAAGCGCAAGAGGGCAAACCCAGUGCUUGCACUGGGGGUUGUAGGACUGCAAUGUGCAAGAGGUAAGUUUAGCAGAACAUUCUGGAAAGUAUAACCAUAGAGGGUGAUAGUCCCGUAUGCGAAAAACAAACCUUAGCUAGCAGUAUCCUGAGUAGGGCGGGACACGAGGAAUCCUGUCUGAAUCUGGGUCGACCACGAUCCAACCCUAAAUACUAAUACCAGAUCGAUAGUGCACAAGUACCGUGAGGGAAAGGUGAAAAGAACUGAGGUGAUCAGAGUGAAAUAGAACCUGAAACCAUUUGCUUACAAUCAUUCAGAGCCCUAUGUAGCAAUACAGGGUGAUGGACUGCCUUUUGCAUAAUGAGCCUGCGAGUUGUGGUGUCUGGCAAGGUUAAGCAAACGCGAAGCCGUAGCGAAAGCGAGUCUGAAUAGGGCGCUUAGUCAGAUGCUGCAGACCCGAAACGAAGUGAUCUAUCCAUGAGCAAGUUGAAGCUAGUGUAAGAACUAGUGGAGGACUGAACCCAUAGGCGUUGAAAAGCCCCGGGAUGACUUGUGGAUAGGGGUGAAAGGCCAAUCAAACUUCGUGAUAGCUGGUUCUCUCCGAAAUAUAUUUAGGUAUAGCGUUGUGUCGUAAUAUAAGGGGGUAGAGCACUGAAUGGGCUAGGGCAUACACCAAUGUACCAAACCCUAUCAAACUCCGAAUACCUUAUAUGUAAUCACAGCAGUCAGGCGGCGAGUGAUAAAAUCCGUCGUCAAGAGGGAAACAACCCAGACUACCAGCUAAGGUCCCUAAAUCUUACUUAAGUGGAAAACGAUGUGAAGUUACUUAAACAACCAGGAGGUUGGCUUAGAAGCAGCCAUCCUUUAAAGAAAGCGUAAUAGCUCACUGGUCUAGUGAUUUUGCGCGGAAAAUAUAACGGGGCUAAAGUAAGUACCGAAGCUGUAGACUUAGUUUACUAAGUGGUAGGAGAGCGUUCUAUUUGCGUCGAAGGUAUACCGGUAAGGAGUGCUGGAGCGAAUAGAAGUGAGCAUGCAGGCAUGAGUAGCGAUAAUUAAUGUGAGAAUCAUUAACGCCGUAAACCCAAGGUUUCCUACGCGAUGCUCGUCAUCGUAGGGUUAGUCGGGUCCUAAGUCGAGUCCGAAAGGGGUAGACGAUGGCAAAUUGGUUAAUAUUCCAAUACCAACAUUAGUGUGCGAUGGAAGGACGCUUAGGGCUAAGGGGGCUAGCGGAUGGAAGUGCUAGUCUAAGGUCGUAGGAGGUUAUACAGGCAAAUCCGUAUAACAAUACUCCGAGAACUGAAAGGCUUUUUGAAGUCUUCGGAUGGAUAGAAGAACCCCUGAUGCCGUCGAGCCAAGAAAAGUUUCUAAG
rnacentral:rRNA from 1 species